rnacentral:rRNA from 1 species
AGUGAACGCUGGCGGUAGGCCUAACACAUGCAAGUCGAACGGCAGCACAGUAAGAGCUUGCUCUUACGGGUGGCGAGUGGCGGACGGGUGAGGAAUACAUCGGAAUCUGCUUUUUCGUGGGGGAUAACGUAGGGAAACUUACGCUAAUACCGCAUACGACCUACGGGUGAAAGCAGGGGAUCUUCGGACCUUGCGCGAUUGAAUGAGCCGAUGUCGGAUUAGCUAGUUGGCGGGGUAAAGGCCCACCAAGGCGACGAUCCGUAGCUGGUCUGAGAGGAUGAUCAGCCACACUGGAACUGAGACACGGUCCAGACUCCUACGGGAGGCAGCAGUGGGGAAUAUUGGACAAUGGGCGCAAGCCUGAUCCAGCCAUACCGCGUGGGUGAAGAAGGCCUUCGGGUUGUAAAGCCCUUUUGUUGGGAAAGAAAAGCAGCAGGUUAAUACCCCGCUGUUCUGGCGGUACCCAAAGAAUAAGCACCGGCUAACUUCGUG